rnacentral:rRNA from 1 species
AUUGAACGCUGGCGGCAUGCCUUACACAUGCAAGUCGAACGGUAACAGGUCUUCGGAUGCUGACGAGUGGCGAACGGGUGAGUAAUACAUCGGAACGUGCCUAGUAGUGGGGGAUAACUACUCGAAAGAGUGGCUAAUACCGCAUGAGAUCUACGGAUGAAAGCAGGGGAUCGCAAGACCUUGUGCUACUAGAGCGGCCGAUGGCAGAUUAGGUAGUUGGUGGGAUAAAAGCUUACCAAGCCGACGAUCUGUAGCUGGUCUGAGAGGACGAUCAGCCAAACUGGGACUGAGACACGGCCCAGACUCCUACGGGAGGCAGCAGUGGGGAAUUUUGGACAAUGGGCGAAAGCCUGAUCCAGCAAUGCCGCGUGCAGGAUGAAGGCCUUCGGGUUGUAAACUGCUUUUGUACGGAACGAAAAGCCCCGGGUUAAUACCCUGGGGUCAUGACGGUACCGUAAGAAUAAGCACCGGCUAACUACGGGCCAGCCGCCCGCCGUAA